CGCGCGGCUGCUUCAGGUCCAGCACGAGCGAGCGCUUGCCCCGGGCCAGGAAGCUCACGUCCCCCGCGGCGCCCGGCCGGUCCACGCGCACCACCUGAGCUCCGAAGUCCGCCAGGAUCAUCCCGCAGAACGGCCCGGGGGCCAGGCCCGCCAGCUCCAAAACCCUGACGCCACGCAGCACCAUGGCCAGUCCCGCGGCGACAGCCGAGCGACCCGGAGUGCCACCCGCCCUGUAUCAUCUCUGACCCCCGCACCCCGCCUCCCUCACGCGCGUGCGCGGGGGCGCCCGGGAGGCUGUGCGCUUGCGCACUUCUCGCCUACCCGCGGUAGACCCAGGCUAAAGUUUAGCCUGUUUUUUCACUUACUGGUUUAAGUCAGGUGCCAGCGUUUAGUCUUUGACCUUGAACUCCCGCUUCUGCCGAACCUCUCUGGAGUCCCUGCUCCCAUCCCCCAUAAGUGACUAAAGGCCAGAAGAGGGCACCAGACCUCAUUACAGAUGGUUGUGAGCUACCAUGUGGUCGCCGGGAAUUGAACUCAGGACCUUUGAAAGAGCAGGCAAUGCUCUUAACCGCUGAGCCAUCUCUCCAGCCCCCCCACUGGUACUCUUUUGCAAGCCAGUGUGGAUCAGGAUAUUAGCUCUCAGAUACUGCUCCAGUGGCCAUGCCUACUGCCGUUCUCACCACCAUGAUCUUCGAGAACUCAGCCUCUGAAACUAUGCCAGACUCUAGAAGACCACAGAAAUCACAAGUGAGGAAAAAGUACAGGAGUGAUAAGCUGACCAAAUAGACCAGAACAGACCUGCUCUAGUAUGCUCUGUGAAUGCCUAAGCUCUUCCUGAGAUCAAAGACGGCACGUACCUGUACAUGCUGAAGACGGUAUUGCCAUUGUGCAUAAGGUACACGUACACUUCCUCUACGUCCUCAUGCUUCAUCAUGCUGAAGGUGAAGAAAUACACACCUGGGAAGGACAAGGAUUCACUCGUUCACUCAUGCGGAGAAGAUGAGUCAAGCGAUCGCACACAUGGCUUUGCUGUAUUUGUGUAUUGUCUAGUUUCAUGGUCUGUUCAUAUGAAUAUACUUUUGUUUGCUUCCUAAAAAGUGCUUAGGUUUUUUGGGGGUGGGUGUUCGAGCAGGGUUUAUCUGUGUAACAGUCUCGGUUGUCCUGGAACCCACUUUGUAGACCAGGCUGGCCUCUCUAACUCAUUGAGAUCCACCUGCUUCUGCCACCCAAGUGCUGGGAUUACACCAACACCGCCUUGUACUUUGGUUAUUUUUAACUCAAUGUGCUUCGUGUUUAUACUUAGUAAGAUUACAAAAAAAUUAAUAAAAUUAGUCAAACAUGAAAUUUAAA